GAUGAACGCUGGCGGCGUGCUUAACACAUGCAAGUCGAACGGAAAGGCCCAAGCUUGCUUGGGUACUCGAGUGGCGAACGGGUGAGUAACACGUGGGUGAUCUGCCCUGCACUUCGGGAUAAGCCUGGGAAACUGGGUCUAAUACCGGAUAGGACGAUGGUUUGGAUGCCAUUGUGGAAAGUUUUUUCGGUGUGGGAUGAGCUCGCGGCCUAUCAGCUUGUUGGUGGGGUAAUGGCCUACCAAGGCGUCGACGGGUAGCCGGCCUGAGAGGGUGUACGGCCACAGUGGGACGGAGAGACGGCCCAGACUCCUACGGGAGGCAGCAGUGGGGAAUAUUGCACAAUGGGCGCAGGCCUGAGGCAGCGACGCCGCGUGGGGGAUGACGGCCUUCGGGUUGUAAACUCCUUUCGCUAGGGACGAAGCGUUUUUGUGACGGUACCUGGAGAAGAAGCACCGGCUAACUACGUG
rnacentral:rRNA from 1 species